AGGACGAACGCUGGCGGCGUGCUUAACACAUGCAGGUCGAGCGGAAAGGCCCUUCGGGGUACUCGAGCGGCGAACGGGUGAGUAACACGUGAGCAACCUGCCCUUAGCUUCGGGAUAGCUCCGGGAAACCGGAAUUAAUACCGAAUAUGACUUUGGCUGACAUCAGCAGAAGUGGAAAGUUUUUCGGCUAGGGAUGGACUCGCGGCCUAUCAGCUAGUUGGUGAGGUAACGGCCCACCAAGGCGACGACGGGUAGCCGGCCUGAGAGGGCGACCGGCCACACUGGGACUGAGACACGGCCCAGACUCCUACGGGAGGCAGCAGUGGGGAAUAUUGCGCAAUGGGGCGAAAGCCUGACGCAGCGACGCCGCGUGGGGGAUGAAUGCCUUCGGGUUGUAAACCCCUUUCAGCAGGGACGAGGCGAAAGUGACGGUACCUGCAGAAGAAGCGCCGGCUAACUACGCGCCAGCAGCCGC
rnacentral:rRNA from 1 species